rnacentral:rRNA from 1 species
GAUGAACGCUGGCGGCGUGCCUAAUACAUGCAAGUCGAGCGAAUGGAUUGAGAGCUUGCUCUUAUGAAGUUAGCGGCGGACGGGUGAGUAACACGUGGGUAACCUGCCCAUAAGACUGGGAUAACUCCGGGAAACCGGGGAUAAUACCGGAUAACAUUUUGAACCGCAUGGUUCGAAAUUGAAAGGCGGCUUCGGCUGUCACUUAUGGAUGGACCCGCGUCGCAUUAGCUAGUUGGUGAGGUAACGGCUCACCAAGGCAAAGAUGCCUAGCCCACCGUGCAGGGCAUUCGGGCACACUGGGACUGAGACACCGCCUAGACUCCUACGGGAGGCAUCAGUAGGGAGUCUUCCGCAAUGGACGACAGACUGACGGAGCAACUCCGCGUGAGUGAUGCUGGCUUUCAGGUCGUAAUACUCUGCUGUUAGGGAAGAACGAGUACUAGUUGAAUAAGCUGGCACCUUGACGGUACCUAACCAGAAAGCCACGGCUAACUACGUGCCAGCAGCCGCGGUAA